UAGUCUGCAACUCGACUACAUGAAGCUGGAAUCGCUAGUAAUCGCGAAUCAGAAUGUCGCCGUGAAUACGUUCCCGGGCCUUGUACACACCGCCCGUCACACCAUGAGAGUUGGGGAUACCCGAAGCCUGUGAGCCAACUUUAUAAGAGGCAGCAGUCGAAGGUAGAACUAAUGAUUGGGGUGAAGUCGUAACAAGGUAAC
rnacentral:rRNA from 1 species